AUUCUUUUAGUAUUAACCAGUACAACUGACUUCCAAUCAGUUNGUUUCGGUAUAGCCNGAAAAAGAAUA
rnacentral:tRNA from 1 species